AUGGUGUCCUCCAGAAAAAAGUAUUCCAGGAAAUCUGGGAAGCCAUCCAUGGAAGAUUAGUUACCAGAGCCUAUGACUUUGAGACUGAAGAUAAGAAAGAUCUGAGUGGCUCAGAGGAAGAUGCUAUUGAAGGGAAGACUACAGUCAUUGAGAAACGUAGGAAGAAAAGAUCUUCUGCAGGAGUAGUUGAAGAUAUGUGGGGUGAAGUACAGAGUAUGCUGGAAGGAGUUGGAGUUAACAUUAACAAGGCUCUUCUUGCCAAGAGAAAGAGACUAGAAAUGUAUACCAAGGCUUCUCUCAAAACUAGCAACCAGAAAAUCAAACAUGUUUGGAAAACACAAGAUCAAAGGUAGAAACUUAACCAAGAAUAUUCUCAGCAGUUUCUGACUUUGUUUCAGCAGUGGGAUUUAGAUAUGCAGAAAGCUGAGGAACAAGAAGAAAAAAUACUUAAUAUGUUUCAACAGCAACAAAAGAUUCUUCAACAAUCUAGAAUUGUUCAGAGCCAGAGACUGAAAACAAUUAGACAGUUAUAUGAGCAGUUCAUAAAGAGUAUGGAAGAGUUGGAGAAGAAUCAUGAUAAUCUACUUACUGGUGCACAAAAUGAAUUUAAAAAAGAAAUGGCUAUGUUGCAGAAAAAAAUUAUGAUGGAAACUCAGCAGCAAGAGAUAGCAAGUGUUAGGAAGUCUCUUCAAUCCAUGUUAUUCUGAUGACUCUUUGAAGAAAGAGCUUGAACCUAAGUAAUAUGAUACAAUUAUAUUAGCUAAGAAGCAUAUUGUAAGUCUUUAGUAGCUUAAUUAUAACAUCUUUAAUAAUAAAUCUCUUUCAUUGUAAGACUUCUCUUUCGGUUAAGUCAAAUCUAAACAGUUAUGUGAGUUAGCAACUACUCCUAAAGAAUAUGUCUUGAGUUUUCAGCUCUUUAGUAAUGAUAGUGAAUUUUUCUCUCUUAACACUGUCAAUUAAAUAAAGACAAUUUAAUUU